CGCUAUUGCUUUCCAAAAAUUGGGAAUUUACAAAAGACUACCCUUGAUUAUACAAAAGAGGGCUUUACGUCACUACUACAUACACAAAUAUGUACAUACUUAACUACUCUAACAACUACUCGAUCAUAUCUGCCUUAAGGCAUUCUCGAAAUCUGCCUUGGCAAGACCGGUAAUAAUAUCACGGCUGAUAGUAUGUCGCG
rnacentral:lncRNA from 1 species